rnacentral:lncRNA from 1 species
UUGAAUAAAUUUUCAUGGUUAAGAAACCUAAAUUAUGUUGUUUUAUUUCGGUUCCUUGUAAUAGGUAAAGAUCGCCUACAUAGAAGAAUCACAGAGGGAAAGUCCAUGUAAGGUAGGGAAUUUUAUGCUAUCCCAUAAUGUAUCUGAUUUCUUUUCUUGAAACAUUUAUUGGAAAUUUCAUGUCAUUUCUAUGAUUUCGUAAAAUGUUUUAAUGUGUCAUUGCAUCUUGGUUUAUUGUGUUGAAAUGUUACAUUGAGAUUGGAACGCAUAUUGGUAUGACGAUUCUUGGUUUAGUGUUGUGGAAAUGGUUCAUGGUGUGGUUGCAUUGACAGAAGGAUAUGGAAUAAUCACAGAUGAUAUUCAGAGAAUUGAUUGGUGGGAAGUGUUUAUGUGAUGUUACAAACAUUAUCUUUUGAUAUAUUGUUUAUGUGGGACCGUGGGUACUUGGGUGAAAGUCUCUAAAGCCCUCGAGG